rnacentral:rRNA from 7 species
GGAUCACCUCCUUUCU